AUGAACGCUGGCGGCGUGCCUAAUACAUGCAAGUCGAGCGAACAGACGAGGAGUUUGCUCCUCUGACGUUAGCGGCGGACGGGUGAGUAACACGUGGAUAACCUACCUAUAAGACUGGGAUAACUUCGGGAAACCGGAGCUAAUACCGGAUAAUAUAUUGAACCGCAUGGUUCAAUAGUGAAAGACGGUUUUGCUGUCACUUGUAGAUGGAUCCGCGCCGCAUUAGCUAGUUGGUAAGGUAACGGCUUACCAAGGCAACGAUGCGUAGCCGACCUGAGAGGGUGAUCGGCCACACUGGAACUGAGACACGGUCCAGACUCCUACGGGAGGCAGCAGUAGGGAAUCUUCCGCAAUGGGCGAAAGCCUGACGGAGCAACGCCGCGUGAGUGAUGAAGGUCUUCGGAUCGUAAAACUCUGUUAUUAGGGAAGAACAAAUGUGUAAGUAACUAUGCACGUCUUGACGGUACCUAAUCAGAAAGCCACGGCUAACUACGUG
rnacentral:rRNA from 1 species